CACUAUCGUUAACUGAAUACAUAGGUUAACGAGGCGAACCGGGGGAACUGAAACAUCUAAGUACCCCGAGGAAAAGAAAUCAACCGAGAUUCCCCCAGUAGCGGCGAGCGAACGGGGAGCAGCCCAGAGUCUGAAUCAGCUUGUGUGUUAGUGGAAGCGUCUGGAAAGUCGCACGGUACAGGGUGAAAGUCCCGUACACGAAAAUGCACAGGCUGUGAACUCGAAGAGUAGGGCGGGACACGUGGUAUCCUGUCUGAAUAUGGGGGGACCAUCCUCCAAGGCUAAAUACUCCUGACUGACCGAUAGUGAACCAGUACCGUGAGGGAAAGGCGAAAAGAACCCCGGCGAGGGGAGUGAAAAAGAACCUGAAACCGUGUACGUACAAGCAGUGGGAGCACCUUCGUGGUGUGACUGCGUACCUUUUGUAUAAUGGGUCAGCGACUUAUAUUCUGUAGCAAGGUUAACCGUAUAGGGGAGCCGAAGGGAAACCGAGUCUUAACUGGGCGUUAAGUUGCAGGGUAUAGACCCGAAACCCGGUGAUCUAGCCAUGGGCAGGUUGAAGGUUGGGUAACACUAACUGGAGGACCGAACCGACUAAUGUUGAAAAAUUAGCGGAUGACCUGUGGCUGGGGGUGAAAGGCCAAUCAAACCGGGAGAUAGCUGGUUCUCCCCGAAAGCUAUUUAGGUAGCGCCUCGUGAACUCAUCUUCGGGGGUAGAGCACUGUUUCGGCUAGGGGGCCAUCCCGGCUUACCAACCCGAUGCAAACUACGAAUACCGAAGAAUGUUAUCACGGGAGACACACGGCGGGUGCUAACGUCCGUCGUGAAGAGGGAAACAACCCAGACCGCCAGCUAAGGUCCCAAAGUCAUGGUUAAGUGGGAAACGAUGUGGGAAGGCCCAGACAGCCAGGAUGUUGGCUUAGAAGCAGCCAUCAUUUAAAGAAAGCGUAAUAGCUCACUGGUCGAGUCGGCCUGCGCGGAAGAUGUAACGGGGCUAAACCAUGCACCGAAGCUGCGGCAGCGACACUAUGUGUUGUUGGGUAGGGGAGCGUUCUGUAAGCCGUUGAAGGUGGCCUGUGAGGGCUGCUGGAGGUAUCAGAAGUGCGAAUGCUGACAUAAGUAACGAUAAAGCGGGUGAAAAGCCCGCUCGCCGGAAGACCAAGGGUUCCUGUCCAACGUUAAUCGGGGCAGGGUGAGUCGACCCCUAAGGCGAGGCCGAAAGGCGUAGUCGAUGGGAAACAGGUUAAUAUUCCUGUACUUGGUGUUACUGCGAAGGGGGGACGGAGAAGGCUAUGUUAGCCGGGCGACGGUUGUCCCGGUUUAAGCAUGUAGGCGGAGGUUCCAGGUAAAUCCGGUACCUUUUAACGCUGAGGUGUGAUGACGAGGCACUACGGUGCUGAAGUAACAAAUGCCCUGCUUCCAGGAAAAGCCUCUAAGCAUCAGGUAACAUCAAAUCGUACCCCAAACCGACACAGGUGGUCAGGUAGAGAAUACCAAGGCGCUUGAGAGAACUCGGGUGAAGGAACUAGGCAAAAUGGUGCCGUAACUUCGGGAGAAGGCACGCUGAUAUGUAGGUGAAGCCCCUGCGGGUGGAGCUGAAAUCAGUCGAAGAUACCAGCUGGCUGCAACUGUUUAUUAAAAACACAGCACUGUGCAAACACGAAAGUGGACGUAUACGGUGUGACGCCUGCCCGGUGCCGGAAGGUUAAUUGAUGGGGUUAGCGGCAACGCGAAGCUCUUGAUCGAAGCCCCGGUAAACGGCGGCCGUAACUAUAACGGUCCUAAGGUAGCGAAAUUCCUUGUCGGGUAAGUUCCGACCUGCACGAAUGGCGUAAUGAUGGCCAGGCUGUCUCCACCCGAGACUCAGUGAAAUUGAACUCGCUGUGAAGAUGCAGUGUACCCGCGGCAAGACGGAAAGACCCCGUGAACCUUUACUAUAGCUUGACACUGAACACUGGUCCUUGAUGUGUAGGAUAGGUGGGAGGCUUUGAAGCGUGGACGCCAGUCUGCGUGGAGCCAUCCUUGAAAUACCACCCUUUAAUGGCUGGUGUUCUAACGUAGACCCGUAAUCCGGGUUGCGGACAGUGUCUGGUGGGUAGUUUGACUGGGGCGGUCUCCUCCCAAAGAGUAACGGAGGAGCACGAAGGUUAGCUAAUCCUGGUCGGACAUCAGGAGGUUAGUGCAAUGGCAUAAGCUAGCUUGACUGCGAGAGUGACGGCUCGAGCAGGUGCGAAAGCAGGUCAUAGUGAUCCGGUGGUUCUGAAUGGAAGGGCCAUCGCUCAACGGAUAAAAGGUACUCCGGGGAUAACAGGCUGAUACCGCCCAAGAGUUCAUAUCGACGGCGGUGUUUGGCACCUCGAUGUCGGCUCAUCACAUCCUGGGGCUGAAGUAGGUCCCAAGGGUAUGGCUGUUCGCCAUUUAAAGUGGUACGCGAGCUGGGUUUAGAACGUCGUGAGACAGUUCGGUCCCUAUCUGCCGUGGGCGCUGGAGAAUUGAGGGGGGCUGCUCCUAGUACGAGAGGACCGGAGUGGACGCAUCACUGGUGUUCGGGUUGUCAUGCCAAUGGCACUGCCCGGUAGCUAAAUGCGGAAGAGAUAAGUGCUGAAAGCAUCUAAGCACGAAACUUGCCCCGAGAUGAGUUCUCCCUGAGACUUAAAGUCUCCUGAAGGAACGUUGAAGACGACGACGUUGAUAGGUCGGGUGUGUAAGCGCAGCGAUGCGUUGAGCUAACCGAUACUAAUGAACCGUGAGGCUUAACCUU
rnacentral:rRNA from 1 species